CCUACGGGAGGCUGCAGUGGGGAAUAUUGGGCAAUGGGCGCAAGCCUGACCCAGCAACGCCGCGUGAAGGAAGAAGGCUUUCGGGUUGUAAACUUCUUUUGUCAGGGACAAAGCAAGUGACGGUACCUGACGAAUAAGCCACGGCUAACUACGUGCCAGCAGCCGCGGUAAUCCGGAGGUGGCAAGCGUUCUCCGGAUUUACUGGGUUUAAAGGGCGUGUAGGCGGGACUGCAAGUCAGAUGGGAAAACCACGGGCUCAACCUGUGGCCUGCAUUUGAAACUGUAGUUCUUGAGUACUGGAGAGGCAGACGGAAUUCGUGGUGUAGCGGUGAAAUGCGUAGAUAUUAGGAGGAACACCAGUGGCGAAGGCGGUCUGCUGGACAGCAACUGACGCUGAGGCGCGAAAGCGUGGGGAGCAAACAGGAUUAGAUACCCUAGUAGUC
rnacentral:rRNA from 1 species